ACAGACUAGCCAAGUGGCUGAGACGAGUGUGGGAUCAAGGGAGAAAGAGAACCGGCAGCUGGCCUCGGACUCUAAGCGGUGCGCAGCUCCAGCCCGAGCGGAUCGGCCCUGAACCCACAAAGGACUCCUCGCUCCUUCAAGCCUCCACCACCUCGCAGCCGGGGAGGCAACUGGAGCGAAACCAGCGACAGAUGCAGCCAUGGACAAGACAAGGAGAGCUUCGUCCCUCCCGCCCCUCAGGUUCCUUCCUGCUGGGGUCUGACCGCGUCUUCUGUGCGUGUGGGAUGGAGGCCCGGCUCGCCCGGGCUCCGAGCUGUCCCCCGGCUCCGCUUUCGGAGCAGCCCUUGGGCGCUGGAGAGGUUUCCCAUUGUGGUCUCCAGGUCAUGGCCAAGGAGGAGAAGCAAUUAGAAUGGGGGAAAGGGUCCCAAGACAAAGGAGAGGGAAGCAUUCUGCAAUCCCAUCCUAUUUGAGCCCCGCGCAGGAGCUGGACUGUCCGCCGUGGCUGGGGGACAAGGUCUCAGCCCGAAGCUCAUGAGGUACCAGACAGUGCCUGGGCUU
rnacentral:sRNA from 1 species